GUAUAAGAGACAGCAGUAGCCACGGGAAUACGUAGGUGGCAAGCGUUGUCCGGAAUUAUUGGGCGUAAAGGGCUCGCAGGCGGUUUCUUAAGUCUGAUGUGAAAGCCCCCGGCUCAACCGGGGAGGGUCAUUGGAAACUGGGAAACUUGAGUGCAGAAGAGGAGAGUGGAAUUCCACGUGUAGCGGUGAAGUGCGUAGAGAUGUGGAGGAACACCAGUGGCGAAGGCGACCCUCUGGUCUGUAACUGACGCUGAGGAGCGAAAGCGUGGGGAGCGAACAGGAUUAGAUACCCCCGUAGUCCCUGUCUCUUAUAC
rnacentral:rRNA from 1 species